ACAGUGCAUGUCGAGCGGUAGAGAGAAGCUUGCUUCUCUUGAGAGCGGCGGACGGGUGAGUUAAUGCCUAAGAAUCUGCCUGGUAGUGGGGGAUAACGUUCGGAAACGGACGCUACCACCGCCUUCCUCCUACGGAAGAAAGGGGGGGACUUCUUCCGUCCCGCCAUCAUAUGAGCCUAGGUCGGAUUAUCUAAUUGGUGAGGUAAAGGCUCACCCAGGCGACCAUCCUUAACUGGUCGGAAAGGAUGAUCAAUCCCCCUGGAAGUGAGACACGGUCCAGACUCCUACCGGAGGCGGCAGUGGGGAAUAUUGGACGAUGGGGGAAAGCCUGAUCCCCCCCCCGCGUGUGUGAAAAAGGACUUCUUAUUGUUAAUAACUUUUUGUUGGUAGGAAGGGCAGUCAGUUAAUACCUUGCUGUUUUGAUUUUACCCACAGAAUAAACACCGGCUAAUUUCUUGCCGGCCCCCGCCGGUAUAAAAAAGGUGCGAGCCUUAAUCCAAAUUACUGGGCGUAAAGCGCGCG
rnacentral:rRNA from 1 species